rnacentral:rRNA from 1 species
GACGAGGGAUCCUAGCGUUGUUCGGAAUUAUUGGGCGUAAAGCGGGUGUAGGUGGCUUUGUAAGUCAGGUGUGAAAGCCCAGGGCUCAACCCUGGAAGUGCAUUGGAUACUGGCAGACUUGAGUACGGGAGAGGAGAGUGGAAUUCCCAGUGUAGGAGUGAAAUCCGUAGAUAUCUGGAAGAACACCAGUGGCGAAGGCGGCUUCUUGGUCUGUAACUGACACUGAGGCGCGAAAGCGUGGGGAGCAAACAGGAUUAGAUACCCGGGUAGU